UGACGAGGCACUACGGUGCUGAAGCAACAAAUGCCCUGCUUCCAGGAAAAGCCUCUAAGCAUCAGGUAACAUCAAAUCGUACCCCAAACCGACACAGGUGGUCAGGUAGAGAAUACCAAGGCGCUUGAGAGAACUCGGGUGAAGGAACUAGGCAAAAUGGUGCCGUAACUUCGGGAGAAGGCACGCUGACACGUAGGUGAAGUGAUUUACUCAUGGAGCUGAAGUCAGUCGAAGAUACCAGCUGGCUGCAACUGUUUAUUAAAAACACAGCACUGUGCAAACACGAAAGUGGACGUAUACGGUGUGACGCCUGCCCGGUGCCGGAAGGUUAAUUGAUGGGGUCAGCGCAAGCGAAGCUCCUGAUCGAAGCCCCGGUAAACGGCGGCCGUAACUAUAACGGUCCUAAGGUAGCGAAAUUCCUUGUCGGGUAAGUUCCGACCUGCACGAAUGGCGUAAUGAUGGCCAGGCUGUCUCCACCCGAGACUCAGUGAAAUUGAACUCGCUGUGAAGAUGCAGUGUACCCGCGGCAAGACGGAAAGACCCCGUGAACCUUUACUAUAGCUUGACACUGAACAUUGAGCCUUGAUGUGUAGGAUAGGUGGGAGGCUUUGAAGUGUGGACGCCAGUCUGCAUGGAGCCGGCCUUGAAAUACCACCCUUUAAUGUUUGAUGUUCUAACGUGGACCCGUGAUCCGGGUUGCGGACAGUGUCUGGUGGGUAGUUUGACUGGGGCGGUCUCCUCCUAAAGAGUAACGGAGGAGCACGAAGGUUGGCUAAUCCUGGUCGGACAUCAGGAGGUUAGUGCAAUGGCAUAAGCCAGCUUGACUGCGAGCGUGACGGCGCGAGCAGGUGCGAAAGCAGGUCAUAGUGAUCCGGUGGUUCUGAAUGGAAGGGCCAUCGCUCAACGGAUAAAAGGUACUCCGGGGAUAACAGGCUGAUACCGCCCAAGAGUUCAUAUCGACGGCGGUGUUUGGCACCUCGAUGUCGGCUCAUCACAUCCUGGGGCUGAAGUAGGUCCCAAGGGUAUGGCUGUUCGCCAUUUAAAGUGGUACGCGAGCUGGGUUUAGAACGUCGUGAGACAGUUCGGUCCCUAUCUGCCGUGGGCGCUGGAGAACUGAGGGGGGCUGCUCCUAGUACGAGAGGACCGGAGUGGACGCAUCACUGGUGUUCGGGUUGUCAUGCCAAUGGCACUGCCCGGUAGCUAAAUGCGGAAGAGAUAAGUGCUGAAAGCAUCUAAGCACGAAACUUGCCCCGAGAUGAGUUCUCCCUGAGACUUUAGGUCUCCUGAAGGAACGUUGAAGACGACGACGUUGAUAGGCCGGGUGUGUAAGCGCAGCGAUGCGUUGAGCUAACCGGUACUAAUGAACCGUGAGGCUUAACCUUACA
rnacentral:rRNA from 1 species